rnacentral:tRNA from 1 species
CCCUGGUUAGCUCAGUUGGUAGAGCGCUCCACUUGUAAUGGAGAGGUCCCGGGUUCGAUACCCGG